GCCAGGUGUGAUGGUUCAUGCCUGUAGUCCCAGCUACUCAGGAGGCUGAGGCAGGAGGAUCGCUUGAGCCCAGGAAUUUGAGGCUGCAGUGAGCUAUGAUCGCACCAUUGCACUCCAGCCUGGGCAACAGAGUGAGAUGCUGUCUCUU
rnacentral:SRP_RNA from 1 species